rnacentral:tRNA from 1 species
GAAAUGAGUUUUGACGAGGGCUUCUAACUUUUGUCUGAGUGGUUUGAUUCCAUUCUCAUCUUU